rfam:Yarrowia lipolytica strain CLIB122 chromosome F complete sequence.
GACUUCGUGGCCAAGAUGGUUAAGGCGUACGACUGUUAGGAUUAGCGACUCCGAAAUCGUAAGAUCGAGAGUUCGACCCUCUCCGAGGUCG